GACGGAAGGUGCAAGCGUUGCUCGGAAUCACUGGGCGUAAAGCGCACGUAGGCGGAUUGUUAAGUCAGGGGUGAAAUCCUGGAGCUCAACUCCAGAACUGCCUUUGAUACUGGCGAUCUCGAGUCCGGGAGAGGUGAGUGGAACUGCGAGUGUAGAGGUGAAAUUCGUAGAUAUUCGCAAGAACACCAGUGGCGAAGGCGGCUCACUGGCCCGGUACUGACGCUGAGGUGCGAAAGCGUGGGGAGCAAACAGG
rnacentral:rRNA from 1 species